rnacentral:rRNA from 1 species
CUCAGAUUGAACGCUGGCGGCAGGCCUAACACAUGCAAGUCGAGCGGAAACGACAUUAUUGAUUCUUCGGAUGAUUUAAUGGGCGUCGAGCGGCGGACGGGUGAGUAAUGCCUAGGAAAUUGCCUUGAUGUGGGGGAUAACCAUUGGAAACGAUGGCUAAUACCGCAUGAUGCCUACGGGCCAAAGAGGGGGACCUUCGGGCCUCUCGCGUCAAGAUAUGCCUAGGUGGGAUUAGCUAGUUGGUGAGGUAAUGGCUCACCAAGGCGACGAUCCCUAGCUGGUCUGAGAGGAUGAUCAGCCACACUGGAACUGAGACACGGUCCAGACUCCUACGGGAGGCAGCAGUGGGGAAUAUUGCACAAUGGGCGAAAGCCUGAUGCAGCCAUGCCGCGUGUAUGAAGAAGGCCUUCGGGUUGUAAAGUACUUCAGUUGUGAGAAGGGGUAACGUAAUAGCGCGUAUCUCUUGACGUAU